rnacentral:rRNA from 1 species
AACGAACGUUGGCGGCGUGGAUUAGGCAUGCAAGUCGUGGGAAUCCCCAGCAAUGGGGGGGAACCGGCGUAAGGGGCAGUAAAGCGUGGGCAACCUACCCUGGGAUCUGGCAUAGCCCGUUGAGAGACGGGGUAAUUCCAGGCGACGUCCCGAUGGGGCAUCCUGUUGGGACCAAAGCUCCGGGCGUCCUGGGCGGGGUCCACGUGGUAUUAGCUAGUGGUGGGGUAACGGCCCACCAAGGCGGAGAUGCCUAGCGGGGUGAGAGCACGACCCGCGCCACUGGCACUGAGACACUGGCCAGGACACCUACGGGUGGCUGCAGUCGAGGAUCUUCGGCAAUGGGGGCAACCCUGACCGAGCGACGCCGCGUGUGCGACGAAGGCCUU